UGUGUGGGAAGUCCUGUGGGGAUGGAUAGUCAACAGGGCUUCUCACUUGAAAUCAGACAAAUGUUUGGAUUCAGUCACUCAGGGUACAAAUUUCGGUUGCAUGAUUCUCAGCAAAAACCUCUCAUUUAUUCAUUGGGGCCAAAAUCCCACUAAUGCAUCAGGCUUCAGCUCCGUUCAGCACUGGCUUCUAAAGGAACAGCGGAGUGCUGGCAGCCAGGAUCCAUGGCUGGAUCUCAGCCCUGCUCCUGGAUGGCAGCACACGGUGCUCUGUGGCUUCCCAAGCUGCUUCUGGGGCUCUCUUGCGUUCACUGACAGGAACGAGCUUUUGUCUUAUGUGCAGAGGAGGAAAUGUUGGCAAUAAAUGUCCUCAUUAUUGAAUAUACAGAGCAGAUGCUGCUUUCAGGCAUGCCCUUCCAACAUGACUGAAGUUGAGGCUGUCUUGAAUCUUGUCAGGACUCUUUCAAGCCUGCAUCACUUCCAGACAUCCAGGGAGCCUUUGGGAUGUUAAGGGCCAGGAUCAAGACAGCAGAGGUUCAAACAGUGGGACAUCAGAGUGGAGGAGAAAAAAUGCACCUAGAAAGGACCACAGCAGGGGUUUGGUGAUAUAAAGAAUCUGACUGGCACCAGUGCAUUAGUUAUUCUACAUAUAACUGAAAACAUAAAUUCAAUAUUUGGAGAAGUAGAGAUAGCAGCAUCUACUGGUUUAGAAGACGCAGAUGACAUGUUUUUGGUUAUCAAGUGUGCUGCAAGUUCAUGGACUAUACACACAUGUACAUAUAUGCACCCACAUGCAGACAUACAAAAGUCUGCUGAAAUUCCUGGUCCUUCCAACUAAAGAUAAGUACAAUAAUUAUAGUUUUUCCUGAAAAUCCCUGUUCCUGAAGUCACUGGAUUAGUUCAAAAUUUCAGCUUCUGUUUGAAAUGCAGGCUUUCUGGAAUCUCAAAACCACCUGGUAAUUCUGGACCUUUCAUGACUGAGUCAAAAAGCUAAAAUGUAACAGUAGUAAGUUAUCUGUGUAUUUAGAAAGAGAAUAAUUUUGGAUAAACAACUAUUUGAAAGUUUAUAAUGCAUCUGAAUGAGACUUCUAUUUUCCUUUGCAGGCUUACAGACUUGCCAUUUUACAAAUCAUGCAAUGUAAUCAUUGUAGGUCCCCACAGCCUGUAUUUCCAGUCAUGUUACCUGUGAAAGGCAUGUUUCUUCUGCUGGAAAAGAGUAUCUUAUAUGCUAUUGCCUUUAUUGUUACUUACUGGAAUCAUAGGAUUAUUUAGGCUAGAAAAGACUUUUUAAAUCAUUGAGUUCAACCAUAAAUGAAGAAUUUGGAUUAGUGUGGUGGGUUUAUUUGAGAGAGCACUUUGCUUUCCUGAUUUUUUUUCCUUUCCAGAUUGAAAUUGAUGGCUUAAGCUCACCAAUAUGGUGAGAUCACUGAUCACCAUCACAAGACUGCAAACUAAAAAGCAGGCUAAAAAGCAGCCUAAAGUUAAGUUGAUUUAACUUAGAAUUGAAUGUAAACCCUAGUUCCUAAAAAUUUGCACAUAUGUAGGUAAUUUUCAAUGCAGUGGAUAAAAUUUAUAUCCUUUCAUAAUUAAUUUGAUUGUUUCUAUACAACUUUGCUGGAGGACUCUGACAAAUGUGAUACUCAUGCUGUGUGAAUGUCUGAUUCAUGUGCAAACUGUACCAAUUCAGGGUAACCACCAGUGGGAAUAAAGCACUACCUGCUGACCUGUAAACAUAAAGGGAAAAGAAAAUUGGAAAAAAAAAAGAAAGUAUCAUCUUGGUAAUGCACAUUCCAUUUUAGAGUUAAGGAAAUAGUCACUGGAAAUAAUUGUGGUUGAGCAGACUCCUCCUCUGUUGAUUUCUAUUAGAAGUGUAUGAAUUGUUUCCUUUACACCAUUGAAAUGUAGAGAAAGGAUUUUAAUGCAGUCAGUUAAGUUCAUGGUAACAACCCUUAUGUCAAUUUGCAGAGAUGUAUGUGGGAGCUGUAUCCUCGUGGCCUGGUCUGUUGCAUGGAUGUCUGAGGACAAAAAUAUCAGGAGAUUCAGUGCCACUGAACUUACACACACUAGAAGGGUGGUGGGUUAAAAGUUGAUCCACUGUUUUCCUUCAGCAUAGACUGAGUCUCUUCAAGUAAAGCUUCAGGCCACUUCUGGGGCAUCAUUGCAGAAUGUGGACUUCAUUCCACAGUCUUACUCUGAAGAAAAAAGAGCUACAAAGAAUAAUGACCCAUGAAUUCUGGAGAGGAACACGGGAAGUAUGAGUGAAUAUUUAAAAAAACCCUAUUAUCUGCCUGCACUUUGCAUUCUUUCAUCUAGUUUGAAAGUCUGAAUUACUAUUUGAGCCUGAUGCUGCAGUUAUUACAUACAUAAUACUCUAACACAUGGGCCGGAGCUUAUCUGGCUCUGUCACUUCGGCCUGUGCCAGGAGUGGGUCACACCCCAGGAGCAGGAUGACCCGAGGUGCCACUAGAGCACUUACUCUACAGCUUUUUGGCUGUCAGUCUGGGCUCUGAGGAGGAAAGGAUGAGAGGGAGGUCUUUUGCAUGGGAUAAUAGAGGAUUUAUUGCUCUGGGGAAUCUUGGGGGCAAAAGACAGAAAAUGCAAGUGUGCAACAGGUGAAAUAGGGAGGUGGUUCAAAGGGAGGGUACAAAGCAUCAGCUGAUCAG